AUUCCAUACACCAUAGUAUUAGGGGGGAUAAAUUCCAUACACCAUAGUAUUAGGGGGGAUAAAUUCCAUACACCAUAGUAUUAGGGGUGAUAAAUUCCAUACACCAUAGUAUUAGAGGGGAUAAAUUCCAUACACCACAGUAUUAGGGGGGGGUGAAUUCCAUACACCAUAGUAUUAGGGGGGAUAAAUUCCAUACACCAUAGUAUUAGGGGGGAUAAAUUCCAUACACCAUAGUAUUAGGGGGGGAUAAAUUCCAUACACCAUAGUAUUAGGGGGGA